GGACCAAGGAGUCUAGCAUGUGCGCGAGUCAUUGGGACUCUGUUAAAACCUAAAGGCGUAAUGAAAGUAAAUAUUUUUGUGUUUUUUCACAAUAAAUAUAGGGAAGAUGGAUAACGAUAUUUAUGUUGUCUCGCAUUCCCGGGGCGUCGCGUACUUAUUGCAAGUUGCGGCGCACCAAGAGCGUACACGCUGGGACCC
rnacentral:rRNA from 1 species